rnacentral:rRNA from 1 species
UACGGAGGGGGCAAGCGUUAUCCGGAUUUACUGGGUUUAAAGGGUGCGUAGGUGGGUAGGUAAGUCAGUGGUGAAAUCUUCAAGCUUAACUUGGAAACUGCCAUUGAUACUAUUUAUCUUGAAUACUUUGGAGGUAAGCGGAAUAUGUCAUGUAGCGGUGAAAUGCUUAGAUAUGACAUAGAACACCAAUUGCGAAGGCAGCUUACUACACAGUUAUUGACACUGAGGCACGAAAGCGUGGGGAUCAAACAGG